AUUGAACGCUGGCGGCAUGCUUUACACAUGCAAGUCGAACGGUAACAGGUUAAGCUGACGAGUGGCGAACGGGUGAGUAAUGCAUCGGAACGUGCCCGGUCGUGGGGGAUAACGCAGCGAAAGCUGCGCUAAUACCGCAUACGAUCUGAGGAUGAAAGCGGGGGACCGUAAGGCCUCGCGCGAUCGGAGCGGCCGAUGUCAGAUUAGGUAGUUGGUGGGGUAAAGGCUCACCAAGCCGACGAUCUGUAGCUGGUCUGAGAGGACGACCAGCCACACUGGGACUGAGACACGGCCCAGACUCCUACGGGAGGCAGCAGUGGGGAAUUUUGGACAAUGGGCGCAAGCCUGAUCCAGCAAUGCCGCGUGCAGGAAGAAGGCCUUCGGGUUGUAAACUGCUUUUGUACGGAGCGAAAAGGUCUUCCCUAAUACGGGAGGCUGAUGACGGUACCGUAAGAAUAAGCACCGGCUAACUACGUGCCAGCCGCCGCAGUAAUAC
rnacentral:rRNA from 1 species